rnacentral:rRNA from 1 species
CCUACGGGAGGCAGCAGUGGGGAAUUUUGCGCAAUGCUCGUAAGAGUGACGCAGCGACGCCGCGUGAAUGACGAAGGCCUUCGGGUCGUAAAGUUCUUUCGACAGGGAAGAAAAUGCCUAUAAGUAACUGUGUAUGUAUUGACGGUACCUGUAUAAGCAGCCCCGGCUAACUCCGUGCCAGCAGCCGCGGUAAUACGGAGGGGGCGAGCGUUGGUCGGAGUUACUGGGCGUAAAGAGCACGUAGGCGGUGUUGUAAGUCAUUAGUCAAAGACUAGAGCUCAAGUUUAGGAAGGCUAGUGAAACUGUAAUACUUGAGUACCAGAGAGGAUUGCAGAAUUCCUGGUGUAGCGGUGAAAUGCGUAGAUAUCAGGAGGAAUACCGUUAGCGAAGGCGGCAAGCUGGAUGGAAACUGACGCUGAGGUGCGAAAGCGUGGGUAGCAAACAGGAUUAGAUACCCGUGUAGUC